CCUGCUUGUAGAGGCAGUACAGGUGCUGCUGGUGUGUAACAUGUAUGUCAGUAUGUGGCAGGGAGGAAAAAGGCUAUGUCUACCCUCAGUAUUCUGACAUGUCAACAUCUGAAUAAUUAAAAGCCUAAUAUU